rnacentral:rRNA from 1 species
GACGAACGCUGGCGGCGUGCUUAACACAUGCAAGUCGAACGGAAAGGCCCUGCUUUUGUGGGGUGCUCGAGUGGCGAACGGGUGAGUAACACGUGAGUAACCUGCCCUUGACUUUGGGAUAACUUCAGGAAACUGGGGCUAAUACCGGAUAGGAGCUCCUGCUGCAUGGUGGGGGUUGGAAAGUUUCGGCGGUCGGGGAUGGACUCGCGGCUUAUCAGCUCGUUGGUGGGGUAGUGGCUUACCAAGGCUUUGACGGGUAGCCGGCCUGAGAGGGUGACCGGCCACAUUGGGACUGAGAUACGGCCCAGACUCCUACGGGAGGCAGCAGUGGGGAAUAUUGCACAAUGGGCGGAAGCCUGAUGCAGCAACGCCGCGUGCGGGAUGACGGCCUUCGGGUUGUAAACCGCUUUCGCCUGUGACGAAGCGUGAGUGACGGUAAUGGGUAAAGAAGCACCGGCUAACUACGUG